rnacentral:rRNA from 1 species
UACGGAGGGUGCAAGCGUUAAUCGGAAUUACUGGGCGUAAAGCGCACGCAGGCGGUUUGUUAAGUCAGAUGUGAAAUCCCCGGGCUCAACCUGGGAACUGCAUCUGAUACUGGCAAGCUUGAGUCUCGUAGAGGGGGGUAGAAUUCCAGGUGUAGCGGUGAAAUGCGUAGAGAUCUGGAGGAAUACCGGUGGCGAAGGCGGCCCCCUGGACGAAGGCUGAAGGUUGGGGUGGAAAG